GUGGGGAAUCUUAGACAAUGGGCGCAAGCCUGAUCUAGCCAUGCCGCGUGAGCGAUGAAGGCCUUAGGGUUGUAAAGCUCUUUCGUGGGGGAAGAUAAUGACUGUACCCCAAGAAGAAGCCCCGGCUAACUCCGUGCCAGCAGCCGCGGUAAUACGGAGGGGGCUAGCGUUGUUCGGAAUUACUGGGCGUAAAGCGCACGUAGGCGGACUGGAAAGUCAGGGGUGAAAUCCCGGGGCUCAACCCCGGAACUGCCUUUGAAACUCCCAGUCUUGAGUUCGAGAGAGGUGAGUGGAAUUCCGAGUGUAGAGGUGAAAUUCGUAGAUAUUCGGAAGAACACCAGUGGCGAAGGCGGCUCACUGGACAGGUAUUGACGCUGAGGUGCGAAAGCGUGGGGAGCAAACAGGAUUAGAUACCCCUGUAGUCC
rnacentral:rRNA from 1 species